rnacentral:tRNA from 1 species
GGUGGUCGUAGCUCAGCUGGUAGAGCCCCGGAUUGUGGUUCCGGUUGUCGUGGGUUCGAGCCCCAUCGUCCACCCAUA